CAACUUAUACAUGUGGUUAUCAUAAAAAAAAACUUUCAAUAAUUUUAAUAACCCCCCAAAAAUCAUGAACUUUAAAUUUUAAUCAUGUAAAUAGAUAUAUUGAUAUAUACAUUCACCAUUUGUGAAAUACAUCUUGUAAUUCAACUUGUGUUUGAUCUUAUACCACCGUUCCCCAUAGGUAUUAGGCCCAUAGGUACUAGGGUGAACGGGAAUCAGAGCCAAUCAACACUGAUACCCUGCUUACAAUCUGUUUUUUAGUGGCUGACUGCUGCAAAUGAAUGGUAUACAUUUUUGUUAAGGAGAUAGCUGAAGCACGCCUCCGGUUGAGGGAAUUUCUUACUGCAUUGAAAACCCAUUGGUGGCCUUCGGCUGAUGUCUGCUCUUUGAUGGUUGUUGUCUCUUUGACAUAUUCCCCAUUUCCAUUCUCAAUUUUAUACUUUAUCAUAUUCAUUGUAUCUGAUAAAAAUUAAUAGGUUCUAAAUAGACCAAUAUCUAUGAUGAGAUUGAUUUAUAACCAGUAUGACUCAUUAAAUGCAAAAUCUAAAAUAAGAUUAUAGUGGUUUUGACAGUUGUUAUCAGACGAAAAGAACCCUAGCCUGCUUACUCGUUCACCCUCUAUGCAGGAGGGAACCUUUGAAUAUUAUUGGUGUUAGUAUACUGAAAGUAUUAUGUAACAAACAUAGCUCAGGAGCCAGCAAUUCAGUGGUUGUUGUUUGUUUAUGUGUUACAAAUUUGUUUUUCGUUAAUUUUUUAUAUAAUUAAGGCCCUUAGCCUUCUCGUUUGAAUUGUUUUACAUUGUCAUUUUAGGGCCUUUUAUAGCUGACUAUGCAGUAUGGGCUUUGGUCAUUGUUGAAGACCUAUAAUUGUUAAUUUCUAUGUCAUUUUGGUCUCUUGUGGAGAGUUGUCUCAUUGGCAAUCAUACCACACCUUCUUUUAUUAUAGCUGUACAUAUCUAAUUAAAUCCUUUCUACAUCCAAACAAAAAUGUAAAUAAAAAUUUGUCUCAGGAGUUUUCCUUCUUUAUUAGGGACUUUUUUCCGGUGUCUAAGUUUCGAUUUUAUUUAUUAAUGACAAUUUGUAUUUGUAAAUUACUGGAAGAAUUAAAUAUAUGUGGUUAUAUGUUACCUUUUGAAACUAUGACAUCUAAAUAUAUAUCUUGAAAAAUUAUUUGAAUUCUGUUGUUUUUUUUAAGAUACGACAAUUGCCAACAAACACAAAUGGCGAAGGUCACAUGACCUGACUCUGAACUCAUUAGAUUUUAUAGUGGGAGUAUUCGUUAUUAAAGCUCUCGUCAUACUUUUUAAAAGAAAACACAUGAUACAUUAUUCGGUAUAUGACCUUAGUUAGCCCUGUUUCAAAUUCAUAUUCCGCAAAGAUUCAAGAAUGUUUUUGUUUCUUAAUUCCUAAUUAUCAAUGAGUAUUUAAGAAAAUUUAUAAAUUUAAUAAAACAGAUGGAAUCUGGGACUGAUCAUGACUGGCAAAAUUUCAAAACUUUGGUUGUCUAUUUCGACCAGCUGAAGCCAGGUUGGCAGUAUGAGUAAGAUCUUUUUAGAAAACGAAAGAAAAAACAUUAAAAGAUUAAGAUCUUUUAAGUAAGUUUAUAUUAAUUUCUGGAAUUUGAAUUUCUUUUCAUAUUAUUCAUCAAAAAUAUUUCACCAAAUAAGGUCCAAAAAUGAACAUAAAGAUAGAAUUUUAGUGUAAGUUUAAACUUUUAGAAGUUCAGGACGUAUAAAUGCUGAAAAUAUGCUGCACUACCCUAUAUUGUAACCUUUAAUAAAAUAGUACUAAUAGAACUAGUCAAAACUGUAAAGUCAGCUUGUGCCUUAUACAAACAGUCACUUUCUUAAAUUGUGUUUGAACUCAUGUUUAACCAAUGAUUAGUGCUCUUGCUGAUGUAAAAACUGUGCUUUAUAUGUUAUUUAAAGUCAUGUUCUCUUUUGACAUUUAAACAAGUUUGCUUUAAAAGAACUUUUUAAUUUAGUGCUUUAGGAUAAACAUUAUAAGAAACAUUCAAGAUAGUUACUAUUGUUUGAAUUUUUAUAUUGUUCUUGUUAUUGUAACUUGUCAUUACAUAU
rnacentral:lncRNA from 1 species